rnacentral:lncRNA from 1 species
AACAAACCCGGGUAUUGAACCCACCCCACUCAAGACCAUGAAAUCACUCCUCUCCACCAGACCACUCAAGAUCAUAUGCUACUGAAAUACUACCCUAAAUAUAUGAACCGGCUGAAACAAAAUAAAUAAAUAACAUAUAAACAUUUUUAUGUUUUUUUUUUCUGUUAAAAAACAAAUUAAAAAAUUAAUUAAAAAAAGAAACAGAAAAAAGGAAACGAAAAAAACAAAAACAGAAGCUCGUCUUCUUCUCAUCUCUCUCACCUUGCGAACUCAACCUUCUCCAACAAUGGCCUUCUACCUCAGCAUCUCUAAAUCGAGAUCUUUCUCUGCUCUCAGUC